UUAGCUAAUCUAGCUCCAAAAUUACAUAAUUAGCUAACUUAGAUCCAAAAUGACAUAAUUAGAUUAGUUAGGUAAAAAACAUCACAAGAACCUUGGUUAGCUCAUAACUUAGCAUAUCUUCCUCCUAAAUUACAUAAUAAGCUCAAAAUAAGAAAUGUAUUGUAAUCAUCCUCUUCCUCUUCUUCUUCUUCUUCUUCUUCUCCUCCUCCUCCUCCUCCUCCUUCUUCUUCUCCUUCUUCUUCUCCUCCUCCUCCUNNNNCUCCUCCUCCUCCUUCUUCUUCUUCUCCUUCUCCUCUUUCUUCUCCUCUUGCUUCUUCUCCUUAUGUUAUUUCGCCCAACAAAGACAUACUUAGCUAAUUAUCCUCCAAAAUGACACAAUUAGCUAAUUUAGCUCCAAAAUGACAUAAUUAGCUUAGUUAGGUAAAAACAUCACAAGA
rnacentral:lncRNA from 1 species